rnacentral:rRNA from 1 species
CUACGGGCCGCUCCAGUCGAGAAUCUUCGGCAAUGGACGAAAGUCUGACCGAGCGACGCCGCGUGCGGGAUGAAGGCCUUCGGGUUGUAAACCGCUGUCAGAGGGGAUGAAAUUUUGACAAAUCCUCAGAGGAAGGACGGGCUAAGUUCGUGCCAGCAGCCGCGGUAAGACGAACCGUCCAAACGUUAUUCAGAAUCACUGGGCUUAAAGGGUGCGUAGGCGGCUUGGUAAGUUGGGUGUGAAAUCCCUCGGCUCAACCGAGGAACUGCGCUCAAAACUACCAAGCUUGAGGGAGUCAGAGGUGAGCGGAACUCAGGGUGGAGCGGUGAAAUGCGUUGAUAUCCUGGGGAACACCGGUUGCGAAAGCUGCUCACUGGGGCUCUACUGACGCUGAGGCACGAAAGCUAGGGGAGCCAACGGGAUUAGAUACCCGUGUAGUC